rnacentral:lncRNA from 1 species
CCUAUCUCCUGGAGAGUCAGGAUGUCUAUUCCUAUGAGAUGUGAAACUCCUGCUCCACACCAUGCUAGCCUGAUAAGUUUCACAGCUGGAAAAGCACUUCAGAUUUAGGACCUGCCUUAUAGUGAGAGGGAAUCUGGACAGGAAGGGACUUGUUUGAAGUCAGAAGUCUAGCUAAUGGCAGAGCCAGAAAAAGGGCUUUAUUCUGGCCUCUUAACUGAACCUGCCACGCAAGUUCAGGGAAGUUUUGUUGAAGAUGGCUCAACCUGAAACUGUUUGCACCUAUACCCUCUGUUCAGUCACAUCCUCAGCAACUUAAGGCACCAAAACACCUACAAAAUGAGCACAUAACUGGCCCUAUUUCACUGGCUCUAGUAUCAGUUCCACACCCUUUGGCUGGAGUCAGUUCCUAGGUCUCUUUAGGCACAGUCCCAUCAGGAUGGGGCUUGGAAGCUAGAAGUCUCAGAUGGCACGCAUUCAACUUGGCAACAAGGGAGAAGCUGGCAUGAGGCUUUAAUUCCACCUUGGCAUUCAGCCCUGAAUCUACUUGGCCUGUCUAGGAGUGCAUGGUAUGGGAAUUAGAGCCAGGGAACAAAAGAUGGCAAGAGCUGCAGGCCAAGACAGGUGAGCACUGCAGCCCACACAUCCGGCUGGCACUACUGUGCUGCCUUCCAACAAUUUGGCUUCAAGAACAUCACCAAAAGAUGAAUUAGAAGGAAAACUACUUGCACAGGCAUGCCGGCCUUCUUCUCAGAGUGACUAGUUUCAUCAGGGGAUUUUAUGGAUCAAAUGAGAAAAUGGGUGGCAGUAUGCUGAAAGAGAAGUGACAGAAAAAAUGUUAAACUGACCAGUAAUGGCAGUUUAUCUCAAAUCUGGAGAAAGUAAACCAUGCACCAUCUUGAUUCCUCAACUAGGCAGGCAUCCUAAACUACCAAACAGGAGAGGCUCCAAGCAGCUUGAACUCUG